UACGUAGGGUGCGAGCGUUAAUCGGAAUUACUGGGCGUAAAGCGUGCGCAGGCGGUUCGUUGUGUCGGCGGUGAAAGCCCCGGGCUUAACCUGGGAAUGGCCGUUGAAACUGGCGAACUGGAGUGUGGCAGAGGGGGUGGAAUUCCGCGUGUAGCAGUGAAAUGCGUAGAGAUGCGGAGGAACACCGAUGGCGAAGGCAGCCCCCUGGGCUGACACUGACGCCUCAGGCACGAAAGCGUGGGGAGCAAACAGG
rnacentral:rRNA from 1 species